GGGAAUGUGGCUUAGUGGUAGAGUACUUGCCUAGCAUGCAUGAAACCCUGGGUUUGAUUCCUCAGUACCA
rfam:Dipodomys ordii contig_23423, whole genome shotgun sequence.